AAUGGAGGCAACUCUGACGCAGCAAUACCGCGUGUAUGAAGAAGGCCCUUGGGUCGUAAAGUACUUGUCUAAGGGAAUAUAGUGAAGGUACCUUAGGAAUAAGCACCGGCUAACUCCGUGCCAGCAGCCGCGGUAAUACGGAGGGUGCAAGCGUUGUUCGGAAUCACUGGGCGUAAAGAGCGCGUAGGCGGCUUUGUAAGUUAAGGGUGAAAUCCCCGAGCUCAACUCGGGAAUGGCUCUUAAAACUGCAGAGCUAGAGUAAAUCAGAGGUAGGCAGAAUUCCAGGUGUAGAGGUGAAAUUCGUAGAUAUCUGGAGGAAUACCGGAGGCGAAGGCGGCCUACUGGGAUCUUACUGACGCUGAGGCGCGAAAGCAUGGGUAGCAAACGGGAUU
rnacentral:rRNA from 1 species